UUUAUGGGCUGAAGCAAGAUCCAAAAGCCUGGUAAAAUGAAACUGAUAGAUACUUUCUAAAAAAAAAUUCAAAAGUAAAAGUGAAGCCACUUUGUAUGUGAAGAAAGAAAAUGACAACAUUAUCAUUGUUUGUCAUUAUGUGGAUGAUCUGCUCUUUACAGGAAAUAAUGUAAAGAUGAUACAAAAAUUCAAGCAGGAUUUGAUGCAAG
rnacentral:misc_RNA from 1 species